UACAGAGGUCCCAAGCGUUGUUCGGAUUCAUUGGGCGUAAAGGGUGCGUAGGUGGCAUGGUAAGUCGGGUGUGAAAUCCCGGGGCUCAACCCCGGAACUGCACUCGAUACUACCGUGCUCGAGUACUGGAGAGGAGACUGGAAUUUACGGUGUAGCAGUGAAAUGCGUAGAUAUCUGGAGGAACACCGGUGGCGAAGGCGGCGUUCUGGACUGCAACUGACACUGAGAAACGAAAGCCAGGGUAGCAAACGGG
rnacentral:rRNA from 1 species